CGGGCGGAGAGGCCGGGUUGCUGGGUAACGGGGCCGGAGCGGCGCUAGUCCGGGCUCUGCUCGCGAACAGGCGGGGCGGCGCCGGCGCUCGGGAUGCGGGCGGUGCGGGCAGGCCGCGUCCAGCCUGGGCUGCUCCUGCUCCUGCUCCUGCUCGCUCAGGUGUGUUGCGAGUAUGGCAUGGUGCGUGUUCUUUCGGAGAAGGGGAGGAGUAAAGGAAAGGACUAUUGUAUCCUCUUCAACUCUCAGUGGGCCCACUUGCCACAUGACCUAGGAAAAGCUUCCCUCUUGCAGCUUCAGGAUCAAACAGCGUCUGUGUUGUGUUCCCCUUCUGAUGUACCAGAUGGGGGAUUUCAUAACAGAAUCCCUAUGGUGAUGCGGGGGAACUGCACCUUCUAUGAGAAAGUCAGGCUUGCUCAGAUCAAUGGAGCCCGGGGGUUGCUGAUAGUCAGUAGAGAGAAACUGGCUCCCCCAAAAGGUAACUGGAGUCAGUAUGAAGAGAUUGAUAUUCCUGUGGCUUUGCUCAGCUACACUGACAUGUUAGAUAUUGGAAAGAGUUUUGGCAGAUCAGUGAAGGUGGCAAUGUAUGCGCCUAAUGAGCCUGUUCUUGACUAUAACAUGGUGAUUAUCUUUGUAAUGGCUGUGGGCACCGUUGCAAUUGGAGGCUAUUGGGCAGGAAGCAGGGAUGUGAAAAAGCGAUACAUGAAGCACAAACGAGAUGAUGGAGCAGAAAAACAUGACGAUGAAACAGUUGAUGUCACUCCCAUCAUGAUCUGUGUAUUUGUGGUGAUGUGCUGCUCUAUGCUGGUCCUUCUUUAUUUCUUCUAUGACCACUUAGUCUAUGUUAUUAUAGGGAUUUUCUGCCUGGCUGCCGCCAUUGGUCUCUACAGUUGUCUGUCUCCCUUUGUAAGAAGAUUCCCAUUGGGGAAGUGCAGAAUCCCUGACAACAACUUGCCAUAUUUUCACAAGCGUCCGCAGGUCCGGAUGUUGCUUCUGGCUGUGUUUUGUAUCUCUAUUAGUGUGGUCUGGGGAGUCUUCAGAAAUGAAGAUCAGUGGGCAUGGAUUCUGCAAGAUGCUCUGGGAAUCGCCUUCUGCCUUUACAUGUUGAAAACAAUCCGCCUACCUACAUUCAAGGCUUGCACCUUGCUCCUGAUGGUUCUUUUUGUGUAUGAUGUGUUCUUCGUAUUCAUCACACCUUUUCUAACAAAGACAGGGCAGAGUAUAAUGGUGGAGGUGGCUGCGGGCCCGACUGACUCUGCCACUCAUGAAAAGCUCCCCAUGGUCCUGAAGGUUCCAAGGCUGAACUCUUCACCAUUGGCUCUUUGUGAUAGGCCUUUUUCCCUCCUAGGAUUUGGAGACAUCUUAGUUCCAGGCUUACUGGUAGCCUACUGCCAUAGAUUUGAUAUUCAGGUGCAAUCCUCCAGAGUCUAUUUUGUAGCCUGCACUAUAGCAUAUGGCAUUGGCCUUCUGGUGACCUUUGUAGCCUUGGCAUUGAUGCAGAUGGGUCAGCCAGCUCUGCUCUACUUGGUGCCCUGUACUCUUAUCACUAGCUUUGCUGUGGCUCUUUGGCGUAAGGAGCUUGCAAUGUUCUGGACGGGCAGCGGCUUUGCGAAAGACCUACCUCAUCCUCCCUUGGUGCUGGCUCCUGUCAGCUUCCCCAACCCUCCCAAAGAGAUGAAUGCACCAGCAACUCAACAAGAAACAGAACAACAAAUGACCAACCCCACGCUUCAUGCAGAUGAUCAAAAUAACCCCUCCCUGUGUGCAGAGGAGCUGCCUAACUUGAAUACCAAGGAGCUGACCAAUCCCAGCAUGCAAGCAGAACAGCCACAAAUUUCCAUCUCACAAAUAGAACAACAAACCAGUCAGAACAAGGAUGACCCUGAAAGCAAGAGCCUAAGAGUAGAAAAGAACCAGCUGGAUUAGAUGAUGAAAUAGGAAAUCUUUUUUCCCCUCUCCCCAUCUCCAAACUUUCCCACAUAGAACCAGUAUGUAGACUGAUUCAGUAGUGUUCACAUUCAUUGAGGAACCUCACUGGGAAUCUGAUCAUCAAAUGCAAGGAUAUUCUGCCUUUGACUUCAGAUACAGCUAUACAUUUCAAACAGCAUUCUGAAAUAUGGUGCUUUACAAAAAUUCUGAUGUAUGAAUUUCAGUGAUCAUUUUAUUAGUUGGAUGCCUUUUACCUUUCCUAUUUCGUUAUACUAGGGUAACAUUAAGAAUUUUUAUUUAUACAGUACUCUGGGCUUGUGUGGCUGUUAUGCUGCUUUAGUAUAGCAUAGAUUAAUGUGGAGGAAAAGCAUUGGACAAGUCUGCUACAAUUCUAAGCAGGGAGAAAUACUGUAGUUUUGUAGAUUUUCCCCUUAAUACUUUUAAAUUUCUGCUUGUAAAAGGCAUUGAUGCAAGUGAAUGGUUUAGUAUAAAUUGACACUCAAGAAAUGUUGAGAACUGGAUAAAUUACCAGCUUUCUGAAAAGAUUUUGUUUUACCAUGGUGCAUUCAAUGCAUCUCUUUCCUCAACAUUUUUUUUUCCACUUCCAGGUGCCUGGGUUGGAUGAUACUCUAAAUUAAAAGGCAGGAUGCAUGGAUCUCCAGUAAGCACUAAUAUUAGAGGCUUUCUGUAAAACUACACUAUGGGUUCAAAAGUUUACCAUCUUCUGCCUAAGCCUUGAUGACCUAAACUGGGCUCUGUCUGCCAAAUUGACUCAACUCUGGCUGAAAUGAUGAAUCAUAGAAGAUUAGGAUUGGAAGAGACCUCAGGAGGUCAUCUAGUCCAACCCCCUGCUCAAAGCGGACCAACCUCAACUAACCAACCUCAAUAUCUCAUACUCCUGCAGAGCCAACACCAGCUAUGGGAGAGCAAAUGGAUUCUCUCUCUGCCUAGUACAUUAGCAGUGGUAUUGUCAGCUAAAUUCAUCACCAUAAACAGACGGUCUACAGUUGGAAGUCGGUCAGCAAAAGCCCAGCUUGAUUGGCUCACAGAUUAAGUUUACUGUGUUGGCACUUAGAUAAUACUUUGAGUUUUCAAAUGAGCAAAUUUGAUCCUGGAAGCCACUGACAGAAUAAAUAUGGGACCCAACAAUUUCAUUCUGGGCACAUAUUAAAAAUAAAAUAUCACUGCAGUAGGACAGUUUGCUGUAGAGUGGGUUAUGGUAGGUUUUUAGCCUUUUGAGGUGAAUGGUCUGUUCAGUAUGUGUAAGUUAGUCAUAUCCCUACUGAUUCUCCUACUACUACCUUGGUGAAGAAAGUGGAGACAGACAUAGUUGUGCAUGAGUGCUGAUUGAACAAAGCCAAUGUUUUAUCAAAAGAGAACUGGUGCUGCUUCAUGUGUGGAACAGAUGGAACAUUUAGACCAAAUCGCAGCUUUCCACCCAAUAUGGACAACAUUUAAAAGACAAGAUAUAGGAAUGUUUUUAUUAAAAAUUGGUUUAUCUUGGAUGCUUCACAGAAGCUGCUUCUGGGAGAGAGGCUUAUCUGUGGGGUGCAUAAUCUACAGACCAGUUCUAAUGGGCUGGCUCAUGGAAGGGCCUUGUAAUAAUGUAUAAAUACAGCAUAUCCAUUAGUAGAGUGAAGAUUUUAAACACUAAGGAGGUAUUAAUCUUAGUUCCUGUGGAGUCAUAUAUUUAACUCUGCAUAUGUAAACCUGAACUGAACCCUUUAAACUAGUAUUUUAUACUGUAUAGUCUGGUAGCCAAAUGCAAGGUUUGGGCACUUGUUUGGUGUCCAUACAGUGGUGGUGUUUUUAUGUGGAUUCUGAACUUUAGUAUCCUAAAUUCAAAACAAUUGCCUUAUGACACCUUGUCACUCUUGAGCAUUUUGAAAUCUGAGCACUUAUUACCACCUCCCUCCAAACUCUCAAGCCGAGUGAGAGUGAAAUCACUUUAAUUGAAUUUCAAUUUUUUUAAUGAAAACCGCACGCUAAUAUUUUGUUACGGAACAUAAUUAGCAAAGAGGUAUAUAUGUAAUGUCUGUAUUGGUGUGUGUAUAAUCCAUAUAUCUUGUUAGCACACCCCCACCUACCCACUGAGCCAUAUUCUUCUUGUACUCACAAAUCAUGUUGACAACAAAUCCUUGCAUAUUUACUCAUGAGAAUAAAUUUUCAAAUAUUGGACAAUUAUAGGCAUUAGCAGAUUAUAAACCAAACAGAGAUUCAACUCUUUUCCUCAUUCACUGAUCCCUUAGACUUCACUUAGCACCCAGAGGCAAUAGUAAACAUUGUCCGUGGUAGAGUAUCAAUGUACACACUUACAACUGGAAUUCACCAAAUGCAAGAAUUGAACUUAGCUGGCCAACAGGAUUCUGUAACACAAUACCAAGGAUAGUAGACACUCAGUGAUAAAACAUGUACAGGUGGGUCCAACAAAGGUAUGACACUAACAUUCUCUAUUCAAGAGUGAUAGGCCUACAAGCAAGUUCAUGAGAGGUUGACAUCAAGAAUAUUUUGUCAUACGAGUUGGUUCCUGUACAAGUGUCCAUGUUCACUAAAUGGUUACAUGAGGAUUUCUACAGCUGAGUCUAAUCUAAAGAAGCAGCUGUAGACAGAAGUGUCAACUAGACAUACUUCACAAGAAGUAUCCUGCACAGUCAUUGAUGGUUCAACAAUUCCUUGGGUUACUCAAGCGGCAUCAUCAAGGACUUUGACCAAUUUCAAAGUCUAUUGUAAACACAAGCUAGCAGCAAGUGAUGUACAUCUUGUCUCUGACAGGUACAAAGACUUCAGCACAAAGACUGUCACAAGAUCUACCAGAGCCACAGAAGCAAGCAGAGUGCAUCAGUUGAGUAUAAGUGCACAGCUACCUCCACUGAAAGUUGUCUUGACAGUUACUGAAAAUAAGAAACAGUUGACUGACAUCAUUUAUACAGAACUCAUUCAAGACAAGAAGUUUGACCUAUGACACACACUAAAGCACAAACUAGUCAUCAGAGGCAGAGAUAAUAACCCAGUGAAAAUAAACCAGGGAGAUGUGGUGAUCUACAAAGAAAAUACAGCCACCUCAAAUGAGAGAGCCAAUAAAAUCCUCGUACAACAAAUGGUUAUGGUUGCAAAAGAGAAAUCAAUGGGAAUGUCAGUAUUAUCACUGAUGUAUUUGUCUUAUAAGACAAGAGCACCCUUAUCUUGAACAGGGCCUAACGUCUUUGAUGAUUAUGGAACGCCAAUCAAAGAGAGAUCUGUAAUAAACAUCCAUGCCACUGCAGAGCAACGCUGUAACACUGUACUAAGACUGUUAGCUGCCUGUACGCACUCAGGCUAUGAUACAGCAGCUUCCUAUUUUGAUCUCGACAAAGGAAUUGUGUUGAUGAUUCUGCAAGCUAGAUUCUCUCUCUGCUGUGUGACAUCAGUGCAGCAAUGCCUGCUGUCAUUGAACAAGCAGCCAUAUUCAUAGCUGCAUGGUACGGACAAUCUAGUGAGAGUUAUGUACCUUCUAAAUUUUAAGAGAUGUGGAUAUGACAGUGCCAAACUGCUAUAUACCAUAUUCUUUUCUUGCCAGGGAGGGGUCGGUUUGUUGCAAUGAAAUGACAAAAUUUGCUUUCACAUUUGUAGAUAAAAACUGGUGACAAGUAGUGACCUGAUUAUUUAUAUUAGGACACUCAACUAUAGUUUGAAUGAAAAGAACACUAGUAAUCAUUUAUAAUGGGGGAAGGGAUAGCUCAGUGGUUUGAGCAUUGGCCUGCUAAACCCAGGGUUGUGAGUUCAAUCCUUGAGGGGGCCAUUUAGGGAUCUGGGGCAAAAAUUGGGGAUUGGUCAUACUUUGAGCAGGGGGUUGGACUAGAUGACCUCCUGAGGUCCCUUACAACCCUGAUAUUCUGUUAUUCUAAAAUGAAAUAUUUGGUUCAAAUUGUUUUAUUGAAUAUUUUUCACAUUCGAGUGGGCAAUGUAUUGAAUGAAAAUUGAGGUCCGUGCCGGUACCCACAACCCCCCCUCCUCAUGUACCUCUUUAUUCAAAUAUGUAUUGUUAUUGAUUGUCAUUGCAAAUGUUAAAUACUUGCUUUUUAUAUAUUAAAACUCUUUUUUGGCUUGA